AAAUUGAUCCAAAUCUGAAGCAAAUCGAUCCAUGUUUCAGCCUUUUUUUUUUUCUUGACUUAAAGCCCCCAAAUCGAAGAUAGGGUUCGAUUUCUUUCUCAAUUCUCAGUCUCUCUCUGCCUCUCUGUCGUUUUGAACCAAAACUGGAGGCUCCUUGCUCCCGUCUCUUUCUCUCAGUUUCUCUGCCUCUCUCUGCGGUCCGGCCGCACUAUUCUCAGCGGCUCAACCUCUCUCCGACUGUCUAAGUCGCCGGUGACGCCUGGAGUCUUGAUCGAGUGAAACAGUGAGAGAAAGUACCCAGAAGCUGAAGAAGGAGAAUGAAAAGGUUGGUGUUGUUUAGAGGAGCUGUGUUGUGGGUUGACUUUGCUUCCUGGAGGCAGCAAAUGUUGUUGCUCAACUCUGCAGCUCUUACUGGGGCGCAGCGAGGACAGCUGCGGUCGGUGAUGCAGGCGCAGGGGCGGUCUGGCCAGUGAGGCCGAUCAAGCAGCAAAGCAGAAGACUUGGUUUGAUUGCUGGGUUCUUCAAGCUCGGUGAUUCUUUUAAUCUCUUGUUAAGUUGCUGGGUAUUGUAUGAAACUGUGAAUGUUAGAAUGUAAUCAGUGUUUGAAACUUUGAAUGUUGAUGGGUAUUGUAUGGACUGUUCUGUUUUGCAGCUUUUGCUUAAUUGAAUAUUUGUCCAUUUUGGAUGGGAGUCAUGGGACUUGAUUAAUUGAAUUUGGCCUCAGUGAAUCAGAAUAUAAUCAAUUGACACUUGACAGGUUGUAUACUUGUAUAUUUGGCCGUUUUAGAUGGGAGUCAUGGGACUUGAUUAGUUGAUUAUAUGUUAUAAAAAUAAAAUUAAAAACUAACAAAAAUAAUAUAGAGACUUUAUGUGCAUGUCUGUUAUAUAUCUCAUGAUGGUUCAAUGGCUAAACUAUAGAGACUUUUGAUUAAUUGUACUGGAAUCAUUAAUAUAUAAUUUUUUGUUAGUUGCAGAGAAAGGGGAUUUGCUGACUGAUGACAUUCUGCCCAUCUUGGAUCUUUUUAUGGUUCUACACAAGGUUAUUAAUUAGGUGUUAACACCUAUUUUUGUUUUUCUUAUUUGAUACAAAAGAGCUAGCUUGUUGGCCCCAAGCAAUUCAGAUAUGUUCAUGUUUACAAAAAGUAAAAUUUAGUUUCAAAUAAGAUACCAAAUGAUCCCAAAGUUAAGUUUCUAUCUUCUGAUCAUGAUCAUUCUUGUAACCCUGUAUGACUGUUUUCUUUGUUUGAUGAAGAUCUUUAAGCUCCUCAAGAUCAACACUUGAGCAAUCAAAGUGAACAUAAACUGUGAUGGGAAAGAAAUUCCUUCAGAGAAUUGAAGGUGUUUACCAAGUCAAUAUUGAUGCUGAACAGCAGAGUCACAGUUUCAGGAGUCAUAGACUCUGCCACUUUGAUCAAGAAACUGCUAUGAGCUGGGACACAUUCUGCGAUCCAAAACCAGGAGCAAAAGACCAUCAAUAAUGAAGCAGUCAAGGCAAGUAAAUGAAGCAAUGCAGCACCAACAACCACAAAUGAUGUAUCACAGAUAUGUCCGACAUGGAUUUCCAGUUGGAUGAUGAUGCCCUACCAUCGAUGCAUGACAGCGUCAAAUUUGUUUUUUGUAAUCCAAGAUUUUGCUAUAAAUGUAAAGAACAUCUUGCUAUGAAUGUAAAGUUUUAAUAUUUUCGAUUCA